UACGAAGGUGGCAAGCGUUGUUCGGAUUUACUGGGCGUAAAGGGUUUGUAGGUGGCCGGCUAAGUCAGACGUGAAAUCCCUCAGCUUAACUGGGGAACUGCGUCUGGGACUGGUCGGCUUGAGGGCCGGAGAGGAACGCGGAAUUCCAGGUGUAGCGGUGAAAUGCGUAGAUAUCUGGAGGAACACCGGUGGCGAAGGCGGCGUUCUGGACGGCAUCUGACACUGAGAAACGAAAGCCAGGGGAGCAAACGGG
rnacentral:rRNA from 1 species